UGGGGAAUAUUGGACAAUGGGGGAACCGUGCAUCCAGCCAUGCCGCGUGUGUGAAGAAGGCCUUAUGGUUGUAAAGCACUUUAAGCGAGGAGGAGGCUCUUCUAGUUAAUACCUAGGAUGAGUGGACGUUACUCGCAGAAUAAGCACCGGCUAACUCUGUGCCAGCAGCCGCGGUAAUACAGAGGGUGCGAGCGUUAAUCGGAUUUACUGGGCGUAAAGCGUGCGUAGGCGGCUUUUUAAGUCGGAUGUGAAAUCCCCGAGCUUAACUUGGGAAUUGCAUUCGAUACUGGGAAGCUAGAGUAUGGGAGAGGAUGGUAGAAUUCCAGGUGUAGCGGUGAAAUGCGUAGAGAUCUUGGAGGAAUACCGAUGGCGAAGGCAGCCAUCUGGCCUAAUACUGACGCUGAGGUACGAAAGCAUGGGGAGCAAACA
rnacentral:rRNA from 1 species